AGAGUUUGAUCAUGGCUCAGAACGAACGCUGGCGGCAGGCCUAACACAUGCAAGUCGAGCGCCCCGCAAGGGGAGCGGCGGACGGGUGAGUAACACGUGGGAAUUUUCCUCAAGGUACGGAACAACUCAGGGAAACUUGGGCUAAUACCGUAUGAUGCAGAGAUGCCAAAGAUUUAUCGCCUUGGGAUAAGCCCGCGUCAGAUUAGGUAGUUGGUGGGGUAACGGCCUACCAAGCCUGUGAUCUGUAGCUGGUCUGAGAGGACGAUCAGCCACAUUGGGACUGAGACACGGCCCAAACUCCUACGGGAGGCAGCAGUGGGGAAUCUUGCGCAAUGGACGAAAGUCUGACGCAGCCAUGCCGCGUGAAUGAUGAAGGUCUUAGGAUUGUAAAGUUCUUUAGCCUGUGACGAUGAUGACGGUAACAGGAAAAUAAGCCCCGGCUAACUUCGUGCCAGCAGCCGCGGUAAUACGAAGGGGGCUAGCGUUGUUCGGAAUUACUGGGCGUAAAGCGCGCGUAGGCGGUUAUACAAGCCAGAGGUGAAAUGCCUGAGCUCAACUUAGGAAUUGCCUUUGGAACUGUAUGGCUUUGAGGACGAGAGAGGUGAGUGGAAUUCCCAGUGUAGAGGUGAAAUUCGUAGAUAUUGGGAAGAACACCGGUGGCGAAGGCGGCUCACUGGCUCGUUUCUGACGCUGUAGCGCGAAAGCGUGGGGAUCAAACAGGAUUAGAUACCCUGGUAGUCCACGCUGUAAACGAUGAGUGCUAGGCGUCGGCACGCUUGCGUGUCGGUGCCGCAGCUAACGCGUGAAGCACUCCGCCUGGGGAGUACGGUCGCAAGAUUAAAACUCAAAGGAAUUGACGG
rnacentral:rRNA from 1 species